GCACUGCUGAAGAGUCCCAUACUAGGGCGAAACAGAUGUCCAGUGC
rfam:Schistosoma haematobium scaffold5_4, whole genome shotgun sequence.